GUCGAGUGCGCGUGCCGUAGCAAUACGGUAUGGCGCACGGCGCACGGGUGCGUAACACGUGGGCAAUCUGCCCUCCGGUGGGGAAUAACCCCGCGAAAGCGGGGCUAAUUCCGCAUAACAUUCCCUGGACUCUGGUUCGGGGAUUCAAAGCAGCAAUGCGCCGGAGGAGGAGCCCGCGCCCGAUUAGCUAGUUGGUGAGGUGACGGCUCACCAAGGCAAUGAUCGGUAGCUGGUCUGAGAGGAUGGCCAGCCACACUGGAACUGAGACACGGUCCAGACUCCUACGGGAGGCAGCAGUGGGGAAUCUUGCGCAAUGGGCGAAAGCCUGACGCAGCGACGCCGCGUGGGGGAUGAAGCUUCUCGGAGUGUAAACCCCUUUCGACCGGGACGAAUGCCCGCAAGGGAGUGACGGUACCGGUAGAAGAAGCCCCGGCUAACUACGUGCCAGCAGCCGCGGUAAGACGUAGGGGGCCAGCGUUGUUCGGAAUUACUGGGUGUAAAGGGUUCGUAGGCGGUGUGGCAAGUCGGGAGUGAAAUUUCUGGGCUUAACCCAGAAGCUGCUUCCGAAACUGCUGUGCUAGAGUGCGGGAGAGGCGCGUGGAAUUGCAGGUGUAGCGGUGAAAUGCGUAGAUAUCUGCAGGAACACCCGUGGCGAAAGCGGCGCGCUGGACCGUUACUGACGCUGA
rnacentral:rRNA from 1 species